AGAGUUUGAUCAUGGCUCAGGAUUAACGUUGGUAGUAUGCCUAACACAUGCAAGUCGAACGGGAUUGUAGCAAUACAAUCUAGUGGCGAACGGGUGAGUAAUACCUAUCUAACUUGCCAAUUAGUGGGGGAUAACCGUGGGAAACCAUGGCUAAUACCGCAUUUGUUACUACACUUAGAUAAUUCAUAUGUUAGAGAUUUGUAAUGAAAGGAAGUCGCAAGGCUUUUGCUAAUUGAGAGGGAUAAGUCGUAUUAGUUUGUUGGUGGGGUAAUGGCCUACCAAGACUAUGAUGCGUAGCCAGUCUGAGAGGAUGAAUGGCCACAAGGGAACUGAGACACGGUCCCUACUCCUACGGGAGGCAGCAGUGAGGAAUUUUCGGCAAUGGGGGCAACCCUGACCGAGCAAUACUACGUGAAGGAGGAAGGUCUACGGAUUGUAAACUUCUGUUGGUAGAGAAGAAGAAUUGGAUGUGAAUCCAGUUUUGACGGUAUCUACCGAGAAAGCCACGACUAACUACGUGCCAGCAGUCGCGGUAAGACGUAGGUGGCGAACGUUAUCCGGAAUUAUUGGGCGUAAAGGGUGCGUAGAUGGUCCGAUAAGUUAGCAGUGGGAAAUCGGGGCCCAACCCCGCGGAAGCUGCUAAUACUGUGGGACUAAGAGGACAGGAGAGGUUAACGGAACUCUCUGUGGAGCGGUGAAAUGCGUAGAUAUAGGGAAGAACACCAAAGAGGCGAAAGCAGUUAACUAUUCUGAUCCUGACAUUGAGGCACGAAAGCGUGGGGAGCAAAGCGGAUUAGAUACCCUAGUAGUCC
rnacentral:rRNA from 1 species